ACCCAGACUCCUACGGGAGGCAGCAGUGGGGGAUAUUGGACAAUGGGGGGAACCCUGAUCCAGCGAUGCCGCGUGAGGGAAGAAGGUUUUCGGAUUGUAAACCUCUGUGGACAGGGACGAUAAUGACGGUACCUGUCAAGAAAGCCACGGCUAACUACGUGCCAGCAGCCGCGGUAAUACGUAGGUGGCGAGCGUUGUCCGGAAUUACUGGGUGUAAAGGGAGCGUAGACGGCAAUGCAAGUCUGGAGUGAAAGCCCAAGGCCCAACCAUGGGACUGCUCUGGAAACUGUGUAGCUUGAGUGCAGGAGGGGUAAGCGGAAUUCCUAGUGUAGCGGUGAAAUGCGUAGAUAUUAGGAGGAACACCGGUGGCGAAGGCGGCUUACUGGACUGCAACUGACGUUGAGGCUCGAAGGCGUGGGGAGCAAACAGGAUUAGAUACCCGAGUACAC
rnacentral:rRNA from 1 species